UCCGGUCAUAACGUCUAGGCUGGAUUCGGGGUGUUACAUCCCUAGUUUAUUUCCCCUCUUUUCCCCUAAUUCGAAGCCCUAAAAUAAUUACCCUUUUUCCCCUAUUUGAAAUCCAAAAUCCCUGGCGGUAGUAAGAAAGGGGAAGGAGCACAUUUGAAGCUAGGAACGGUUUGAAAGAAAUUCUGUACUCUUAGAGAUGUGAAAAUACCUCCUAGACCAAGGCUCCUUAUUCUUGAUCAUAUUCAGAGGGAUCCAGUAUUAAAAGAGAAGCAAGGGCACCGUCGUUGAAUUUUAUUAUCGAGCCAGUUCACCACAAAGGGGCUAUUUCUGGUAUAUCUGAAAACCGGAGGAGGGAGGUAGUUUGUAUCUUUU